GUGCCAGCAGCCGCGGUAAGACGAACCGUGCGAACGUUGUUCGGAUUCACUGGGCUUAAAGGGCGCGUAGGCGGGCGAGCGAGUCCGGGGUGAAAUCUUUCGGCUUAACCGGAAAAGGGCCUUGGAUACCGCUCGUCUCGAGGGAGGUAGGGGCAGGCGGAACUUCCGGUGGAGCGGUGAAAUGCGUUGAUAUCGGAAGGAACGCCGGUGGCGAAAGCGGCCUGCUGGACCUCAUCUGACGCUGAGGCGCGAAAGCCAGGGGAGCGAACGGGAUUAGAUACCCCCGUAGUCC
rnacentral:rRNA from 1 species